ensembl:snRNA U6 U6 spliceosomal RNA
GUGCUUGCUUCAGCAGCACAUACAAUAAAUUUGGAGCGAUGCAGAGAAGAUUAGCAUGGCCCCUGCGCAAGGAUGACACGAAAAUUCGUGAAGUGUUCCAUAUUUUU